UUUACGCAGGCAACAAAUUAUUUUAAAUUUUAGGUAAUUUUUUUUACGUAUUUAUACUUUUUUUAAGCUCGACCUUGAAAUGUCUUUUGCCGAUGCGCGUCAAAUUCAAACUCUUGUUGAAAAUCUCUUAAACGAAAUUUGGUCUUCGCAGGGGUUUCGGAUUGAUCUUCCGUUUCCAAUAAUUUCGUAUGAGGAUUCUUUAGCACUGUACGGCACUGACAAGCCCGAUUUAACUUUCGAAGAAAAGAUAGUAGACGUCACUGCAUUGUUUAGUCCACAUAUAGAUUUUUUCAAAAAAAUUAAUAAUUUUAACUCGGAAAACUCGGAUUUUAAAGUUUUGGCCCUAAGU